rnacentral:lncRNA from 1 species
AGCGUAUUAAAUAUUAAGAUGUUUUAAAACAGAAAGAACUUAAAGUGAUGAAAAUAGAAAGGUUCUUAAGCGUCUAUAAUAUAAAAUAAUUUUAAUACAGUACAUAAAUCCCAACGAUUUAUCAGUUAUAUAGAGAGAAAAACAUAAUAUCAAACUAUUUUAUUUUAUUAUUUAUUAUUAAUAGAACAUAGCAACAGAGUCGGAACUAAAGCCUCAUUACAAGGUCUAAAUCAAAAUUGAAUACACUUUGGAAUUAUCAAUGAUGAUAUUUGCAUAUUUUAGACCACAUAACUGGAUAUCCGUAUAUAAUAAUCAGACGUUAUCAUCAUCUAAAACGAAUUAUUGCAACCAACAUGUACCAAAUACACCGAAAAAAGCAAUGCACGGUGAAAAAUUGGUCAUAAAUAUUCAUCUAAAUAAUUCGUGAAAGAUAAAAACAUUAUUAUGAAAGAUUUAAUUGAGUGUUUAAGAGUAUACAAAUCUAUUUUCAUCUAUGCUUUAAGCUAAAUAGAAGAAAAAAUAUCAAACAUAGACAUAGAAAAGAUGCCAAAUAACCAUAACAGGAGUGUAAGCAUUUAACUAAGGGCACAAUGGGAAUUAAUGAUUUUCUGAAUUUAACCAGUAUAAUAUUCAGAAAUUGGUUAAUUAUUUUGGGCAGUAGAAGAGAUAAAUCGUUUCGGUUGUCAGGAUUUAAUUUUAUCCGGUCUUUCGUGGCCAAUAAAACGACACCAUACUUUUCAGUGGUAUAACAAUAAAUAUGUUCAGCAGACCCACGCUUUUAUUUGCAUAACCAACCUAACAGAUUUCCAAUGACAUAAUAAGAAAAUAAGUGGGAAAAAAAGAACAUUACUUAAUAUUUGUCGAUGACAUAUGCAGAAAAGUCAGGGUUCACUACGUACAAAAAUUAUGCUUUUGUACCCUGUAAUUCUGUACAAAGUAUGCCGACUGUAUCAGUCUCAUACCUAUGUGAAUUCUGUAAAAAAAAUAAAUGUAUCUUGAUAUUGUAAAUCUUUUCUAUCAUUUUUUUAAAUAUUUAUUUUGAUUACUUUUUUUUUCUGUUUAAAUUGUUAAAUCUGGGUUAUAUAGGUUUUUUUUCCCCCUGUUCGGCUACUUUUCUCAAAAGUAUGACGGACAACGAUUCGAGAAAACCACUCAAAAACAAGUUAAAACUUAUAUUAAAAACAUAUUCCGUAUAUCAUUUUUAUAGUACAUUAUAUUAUCAAACAACAACAAGCAUGACGAAUUGUAAAAAUAUACGUUUGUAUAUCUCAACUAAAAAUAUUUCGAUAACUCAUUACAAUAAAUUAUAUGUCUAUUUUAUUAAUCUAUUUAUAAAAAUAUG